rnacentral:rRNA from 1 species
AAUCAACGCUGGCGGCGUGCCUAACACAUGCAAGUCGAACGCGAAAGCCCUUUCGGGGGUAAGUAGAGUGGCGUCCGGGUGAGUAACACGUAGGUAAUCUACCUUCGGGUGGGGAAUAACGUCUCGAAAGAGACGCUAAUACCGCAUAAUGCAGCGGCACCUAAUGGUGAUUAGUUGUUAAAGCGGGGGGAUCGUAAGACCUCGCGCCUGAAGAGGAGCCUGCGGCAGAUUAGCUAGUUGGNGAGGUAAUGGCUCACCAAGGCUUCGAUCUGUAGCUGGUCUGAGAGGACGGCCAGCCACACUGGCACUGACAC